rnacentral:rRNA from 1 species
AAAGGUGAAAUUGAUUAUAUUAUUUAUAGAUGUUAAACAGGAAAAAAGGCUAUUAAGUCUUAAAAAUAAACUAGGAUUAGAUACCCUAUUAUAUAAGGUUUUAAAUAAAUACUGGAUUAGUAGUAGUUAUUUACUUGAAAUUUAAAGAAUUUGGCGGUAAUUUAGUCUUAUUAGAGGAACCUGUUUUUUAAUCGAAACACCACGUAAUAUCUUACUUUAGUUUGUAUACCAUCAUUAUUAGAUAAUUUUUAAAAAAGAAAUUAUUAAGAUUAAUUUAUUAAAUAAAUUAGAUCAAGGUGCAGCUAAUAAGAAAGUUAAAAUGGGUUACAAUAAAAUUUAUUUAUUACGAAUGAAAUUAUAAGAAGGAGGAUUUAAUUGUAUAUAAGUUUAAUAAGCUGUAAUGAUAAAAGCUCUAAAUUAUGUACAUAUCGCCCGUCGCUUUC